CUUGACCGACCCGAGCCACAACGGCUGGUCGGUGGGACGGUCCUGACCGUAGGUGGCGAGCAGCGCCUGCGCCUC
rnacentral:antisense_RNA from 1 species